rnacentral:tRNA from 1 species
GGGAAAGUGGCUCAGUGUUAGAGCGCUUGCCUUGCAUGCUUGAGGCCCUGGGUUC